CAUCCUCGAUCUGUUGCGGACAGAUAAAAUGAAUGUGCGAGUCAAAUCCGCCAGCGGUCAGGAUACGGCCUUCACCCGCGAUGGCCUCGGUUCCCGGUCCGAUGAUGAUAUCGACACCCGGUUGUGUGUCAGGGUUGCCUGCUUUGCCGAUUUUGUGGAUGCGGCCAUCCUUCAGACCCACAUCUGCUUUGUAGAUGCCGGUGUGAUCCACGAUCAGCGCGUUUGUGAUGACGGUAUCGACCGCCCCCUCCGCACGCGUUGCCUGAGACUGGCCCAUCCCGUCGCGGAUG
rnacentral:sRNA from 1 species